AAACUGAAGAGUUUGAUCCUGGCUCAGAUUGAACGCUGGCGGCAUGCUUUACACAUGCAAGUCGAACGGCAGCGCGGGGCAACCUGGCGGCGAGUGGCGAACGGGUGAGUAAUAUAUCGGAACGUACCCAAGAGUGGGGGAUAACGUAGCGAAAGUUACGCUAAUACCGCAUACGAUCUAAGGAUGAAAGCAGGGGACCGCAAGGCCUUGUGCUCCUGGAGCGGCCGAUAUCUGAUUAGCUAGUUGGUGAGGUAAAGGCUCACCAAGGCGACGAUCAGUAGCUGGUCUGAGAGGACGACCAGCCACACUGGAACUGAGACACGGUCCAGACUCCUACGGGAGGCAGCAGUGGGGAAUUUUGGACAAUGGGCGCAAGCCUGAUCCAGCAAUGCCGCGUGAGUGAAGAAGGCCUUCGGGUUGUAAAGCUCUUUUGUCAGGGAAGAAACGGU
rnacentral:rRNA from 2 species